rnacentral:rRNA from 1 species
GAGGAAAAGAAACCAACAGGGAUUGCCCUAGUAACGGCGAGUGAAGCGGCAACAGCUCAAAUUUGAAAUCUGGCGUCUUUGGCGUCCGAGUUGUAAUUUGCAGAGGGCGCUUUGGCAUUGGCAGCGGUCCAAGUUCCUUGGAACAGGACGUCACAGAGGGUGAGAAUCCCGUACGUGGUCGCUAGCCUUUACCGUGUAAAGCCCCUUCGACGAGUCGAGUUGUUUGGGAAUGCAGCUCUAAAUGGGAGGUAAAUUUCUUCUAAAGCUAAAUACUGGCCAGAGACCGAUAGCGCACAAGUAGAGUGAUCGAAAGAUGAAAAGCACUUUGGAAAGAGAGUUAAAAAGCACGUGAAAUUGUUGAAAGGGAAGCGCUUGCAGCCAGACUUGCCUGUAGUUGCUCAUCCGGGUUUUUACCCGGUGCACUCUUCUACGGGCAGGCCAGCAUCAGUUUGGGCGGUUGGAUAAAGGUCUCUGUCAUGUACCUCCUCUCGGGGAGAUCUUAUAGGGGAGACGACAUGCAACCAGCCUGGACUGAGGUCCGCGCAUCUGCUAGGAUGCUGGCGUAAUGGCUGUAAGCGGCCCGUCU